CCUGGGAACUGCAUCCGAAACUGGCAGGCUUGAGUCUUGUAGAGGGGGGUAGAAUUCCAGGUGUAGCGGUGAAAUGCGUAGAGAUCUGGAGGAAUACCGGUGGCGAAGGCGGCCCCCUGGACAAAGACUGACGCUCAGGUGCGAAAGCGUGGGGAGCAAACAGGAUUAGAUACCCUGGUAGUCCACGCCGUAAACGAUGUCGACUUGGAGGUUGUGCCCUUGAGGCGUGGCUUCCGGAGCUAACGCGUUAAGUCGACCGCCUGGGGAGUACGGCCGCAAGGUUAAAACUCAAAUGAAUUGACGGGGGCCCGCACAAGCGGUGGAGCAUGUGGUUUAAUUCGAUGCAACGCGAAGAACCUUACCUGGUCUUGACAUCCACAGAACUUUCCAGAGAUGGAUUGGUGCCUUCGGGAACUGUGAGACAGGUGCUGCAUGGCUG
rnacentral:rRNA from 1 species